GAUGAACGCUGGCGGCGUGCCUAAUACAUGCAAGUCGAGCGAACAGACGAGGAGCUUGCUCCUCUGACGUUAGCGGCGGACGGGUGAGUAACACGUGGAUAACCUACCUAUAAGACUGGGAUAACUUCGGGAAACCGGAGCUAAUACCGGAUAAUAUAUUGAACCGCAUGGUUCAAUAGUGAAAUACGGUUUUGCUGUCACUUAUAGAUGGAUCCGCGCCGCAUUAGCUAGUUGGUAAGGUAACGGCUUACCAAGGCGACGAUGCGUAGCCGACCUGAGAGGGGGGUCGGCCACAUUGGAACUGAGACACGGUCCAGACUCCUACGGGAGGCAGCAGUAGGGAAUCUUCCGCAAUGGGCGAAAGCCUGACGGAGCAACGCCGCGUGAGUGAUGAAGGCCCUCGGAGCGUAAAACUCUGUUAUUAGGGAAGAACAAAUGUGUAAGUAACUAUGCACGUCUUGACGGUACCUAAUCAGAAAGCCCCGGCUAACUACGUG
rnacentral:rRNA from 1 species